CCAAUAGCGUAUAUUAAAGUUGUUGCAGUUAAAAAGCUCGUAGUUGAAUUUCGGGAUCAAUAUAUUGGUCAUGCUUAGGUAUGUACUGGUAUUAUUGAUUUCUCCCUUCUGAAGAACCAUAAUGUCAUUAAUUUGAUGUCAUGGGGAAUCAGGACUGUUACUUUGAAAAAAUUAGAGUGUUUAAAGCAGGCUUUCGCUUGAAUACAUUAGCAUGGAAUAAUGAAAUAGGACGUUUGAUUCUAUUUUGUUGGUUUCUAGGAUCGACGUAAUGAUUAAUAGGGAUAGUUGGGGGCAUUAGUAUUAAAUUGUCAGAGGUGAAAUUCUUGGAUUUAUUGAAGACUAACUACUGCGAAAGCAUUUGCCAAGGAUGUUUUCAUUAAUCAAGAACGAAAGUUAGGGGAUCGAAGACGAUCAGAUACCGUCGUAGUCUUAACCAUAAACUAUGCCGACUAGGGAUCGGAUGAUGUUAAUUUUUUAAUGACUCAUUCGGCGCCUUACG
rnacentral:rRNA from 1 species